rnacentral:rRNA from 1 species
UAAGUGGUGGAAAUUAAACCAACUGGGAUCUCUUCAGUAAUUGCGCAUGAACCAGGAUAUGCUUAGCUUGACAAAUGGAGCUGCUGGCUCUGAAUUGUAUUGUGGGAAUGUAUUACCAACAGAGGUGCAGGUGUCAGCCAUUUGAAAGAAAGCAUCAAUGAGGGUGAGAGUCCUGUUUGUCAUGUGCAGCCUUCUGUGCACGGUGUAUAUUUGCUGAGUCACACUCCUCGGCAUUGGAAUGCAAAGUGGGUGGUAAGUUUCAUGCAAAGGUAAAUAUGCAAUUGAGACUGAUAGCGCACAAGUACCAUGAGGGACAUAUGAAAAGGACUUUGAACAGAGAAUUAAAUGAGUUUGUAUUUGCUAAACACAAAGUAAACAGACUUGAUUUCCUCAGUGAGAUUGUAGUGCUUGCUUGACAAUGGGUUUUGGCUGCAAGUGCAAUAAUUCUUGCUUUGUGUGCCAGUUUUUAUGUGGACAUUUGAUUACCUUGGCACAUGAAUGGUAAUUUUCCUGCGGGGUGUGGAUUGCAUAUGCAUGUAAUGAUUUGCAUGUUUGUUAAAUGUGUCUGGUGUAUUUGUUUGUGUCCUUGUCCUGGGGGUUGCUUUCUCCCUUGGGCUUACAUGCCCUGGCACACACAUUCUGGCAAAAUGCUUCUGCUUGACCCG